GACGAACGCUGGCGGCGUGCUUAACACAUGCAAGUCGAACGGAAAGGCCCUGCUGUUGUGGGGUGCUGGAGUGGCGAACGGGUGAGUAACACGUGAGUAACCUGCCCUUGACAUUGGGAUAACUUCAGGCAACUGGGGCUAAUACCGGAUAGGAGCUCAUGCUGCAUGGUGGGGGUUGUAAAGUUUCGGCGGUGGGGGAUGGACGCGCGGCGCAUCAGCUUGUUGGUGGGGGAGUGGCUUACCAAGGCGUUGACGGGUAGUCGGCCUGAGAGGGUGACCGGCGACACUGGGACUGAGCUACCGCCAAGAAGCCUACAGGAGGCAGCAGUAGGGGAUAUUGCACAAUGGGCGGAAGCCUGAUGCAGCAACGCAGCGUGUGGGAUGACGGACUUCGGUUUGUAAGCCGCUUACGCCCUUUACCAAGCGUGAGUGACGGUAAUAGGUAAAUAAGCACCGGCUAACUCCGUG
rnacentral:rRNA from 1 species